GCGCAUGUGAACUCGCAGAGACUGUGGCAGCGUUCCCAGGGCCUAUAUGUAUCUGUGCCAGAUGGGCUGCUAAUGCUGAAAGAAGUAGACAAAAGCCCCGAUUUUAGGCAGAAGUUUCUGUCCUGCAAACUGCUCCCAAGUAACCACUCAGAGGCUUAGCAUUAAAUAUAAAUGUUCGGCCAAUAGUCCAGGCUUAUUUCUAGCUAACGCUUACAUUUUCAAUUAACCCAAUUAAACCCCAUUUUUUUUUUUAUCUUUGCCAUGUUGCAUAGAAGAAACAUGCAGGUUGCUACUGCUGAGACACAGGUCUGAGCGAUCAAAAAUUAAAAAGGAAUUCUCUACUUUCUACUUGGCAUGAUUAUGCUGACCUUCCCUGUCAAGUACCCUGUCCCUUUGAGAGACAAACUCUGCCUACUCCCAAUCUCUCCCUUCCGGUGAGGCAAGCUGAUCUCAGCUCUCUUCCCUUUCUGUCUUUCUUUCCCUGCAGUUCUUCUGAAGAGGCAGAUAGCUGCCACCGCCCCCCCCCCCCAGUCUCUCUGUCUAUCUGUUUCUGUAUCUAUCCCUUUCUCCCCUCCUACCUUCACAAACCUUCUUAAUACCCUCUUCCUAAAUAAAACUCCAUACUUUCCAAACUCUAUCUGCAUGGAAUUUGCCGUUUCCUGCUCAGUCACCCGCCCGCCAUGGGACCCACCAAAGUCCCUCUCACGCUGAAAUCUUACACUACUCCUUUUCCUUUGCUCCAAAACUUGCUUCUUUCCCUCGGCUCUCUCUUCUCCUAUAUUACGUAAAUCUCCUGUCCCUGUGUUUCUUACAACACGGGAGUCAGGAACGGAGAGGCGCCUGCCCCUCCCUGCAGGUCUAGAGCUGCUGCCCCUGCACCACGCACACAAACACUUCCUGGCAGCAGUGCCUGCUGGAUUCCUAUCAAAGGGAGCAAGAUAAGACCGGAGUCCCUAUCUCAACAGGUUCCCACUUGGCUGACAACCACCAUCCAGAGAGGACCUACAAGCUCCAGGCUGCUCAGCUCUGGACUUCCUGAGUCAGAACCAGUCCAGCUGACGUGAAUGCUCCCUGUCCCUUCACCUGGAACAGCUAAUCAGAUGUUUCUGAUAAAUGCCUUAUUGCCUAGCCCUUAACUAGUCUGUCAACCUUGCAGGGCUUUGACAACCUAUGCCCCGUUCACCUGGAAGCAGCUGCUGAAGGGAGUACUUUGUCUCUGCCCCCAUGAGAGUUGCUAAACAAGGCCAAGUCAAAAGAAAACUACCUGACAUAGGAGGCUAAAUGUCUACCUAUAUUUCAAUUGAUAUAUAAAAAAGAAAAAAUGGGCUCAGAAGUAUCAACGGGUGAUCCUAUUUACAACAGUUGGAAUGUUAGGCAUUUCCUUUGGAUGAUCUGUUCCUAGGUAAUCUCAAUUUAUGAUCCUUCCUGCAACCAGAUAUUGCUUCAGGGUAAACUACUGAGACUCAGGCUUCCAUUAAGCUCAUUAUGGUUGGCUGCUACACUACCCUUUAUCAUUCUUCUGAUUAUGCUAUGUUUUAGUUUGCACCGUUCCCCUGCCACCUUAUUCUAUUCUGUUGCGAGAGAUCACCAAAAUUGCUAAAGUUACUACCAAUUAGGUCAUGGUUCUCUACCAGGACCUAGACCUUAAAACACAGAUGACAGGUUUCCCAAUGCUUGUGAUGACACCUCUCCCUUGUAAAAUAAAACAGGGGGAGAUUUUGGGAGGCCGUGUUGGUCAGAGGUUGCAGUCUUCCAUGGCCAAACAGCUUUCUCCAAACUUAACAACAGGAAGGAACCCCUAGCCAGUGGGGCUUCCUGCACUCUUCCUGCCCUUUUUGGAGGAUGUCUCUAGGCUCCAUGCCUGAUUUAUCUCAAGGAUGACCCUUGACGUAGUUCCCGGCAAAUGCUCUUUCCCUGCGGACCCCAUGGUAAUUAAUCAAGUAACAUGCUCUAGCUCUUUUCAUAGGUCUGUGCUACCACUAACCCCACUCUGUGAUAGGAGCAUGCUAUUUGAUGCAAAUAAGGUGAUUCCCCAGCUCAGGUCAUCGAUCUUUUCUAUUCCCCAUAUCUAGGAUAAAGCUGUUGUCUUACUGAAGUCAUUUCUGAGUGCUAUCUCUGUUAUAUGAACAGCUGUCUGAACACUAUUCCCCCACAUCUCCCCUCCACCCUCAGGAAGUGUUGGCCAGCAAUCCCCAAGGAAGGAGACACACAGCUCACGUUUUUAGCAACAUGCAAGAAGACAUCAAAUUAGUGACGGCUUUAAAAUUUCAAAGGACAUCCCGAGUAUUCAACCUCCUCAGGAAGGACACAUCUAGACCUCCCUCAGCAGUGCCACCAACCAGGAAACAAGUGUUUAAAUGACAGACCCUAUGAGAGACAUUCUCUUUCAGACUCAACAGUUGAGCCUUUGUCUGGCAGCGGAUGGAGAUAGAGACAGAGACCCACGUUGAAGCACUGGACCGAGAACUCCCACGGUCCAGUUGAGGAGAGGAAGGAGGGAGAAUAUGAGCAAGGAAGUCAGGACCACGAGGGGUUGGUCCACCCACAGAGACAGUGUGCCUGAGCUAAUGGGAGCUCACCAACUCCAGCUGGACUGAGACUGAAGGAGCAUGGGAUCAAACUGGACCCUAUGAAUAUGACUGACAACUGGGGCAGACUGAGAAGCCAAUGAUAAUGGCACUGGGAUUUGUCUCUACUGCAUGUACUGGCUUUUUGGGACCUAUUCUAUUUGGAUGCAUACAUUCCUAAGCCUGGAUGGAGUGGGGAGGGCCUUGGACUUCCCACAGGACAGGGUACCCUGCCCUCUCUUAGGACUGGAGGGGGAGGGGGGA